UACGGAGGAUCCAAGCGUUAUCCGGAAUCAUUGGGUUUAAAGGGUCCGUAGGCGGUUUGGUAAGUCAGUGGUGAAAGCCCAUCGCUCAACGGUGGGACGGCCAUUGAUACUGCCAGACUUGAAUUAUUAGGAAGUAACUAGAAUAUGUAGUGUAGCGGUGAAAUGCUUAAGAGAUUACAUGGAAUACCAAUUGCGAAGGCAGUUACUACGUAAUGGAUUGACGCUGAGGCACGAAAGCCGUGGGGAGCAAACAGG
rnacentral:rRNA from 1 species